AGUGAACGCUGGCGGUAGGCCUAACACAUGCAAGUCGAACGGCAGCACAGUAAGAGCUUGCUCUUACGGGUGGCGAGUGGCGGACGGGUGAGGAAUACAUCGGAAUCUACUUUUUCGUGGGGGAUAACGUAGGUAAACUUACGCUAAUACCGCAUACGACCUACGGUUGAAAGCAGGGGAUCUUCGGACCUUGCGCGAUUGAAUGAGCCGAUGUCGGAUUAGCUAGUUGGCGGGGUAAAGGCCCACCAAGGCGACGAUCCGUAGCUGGUCUGAGAGGAUGAUCAGCCACACUGGAACUGAGACACGGUCCAGACUCCUACGGGAGGCAGCAGUGGGGAAUAUUGGACAAUGGGCGCAAGCCUGAUCCAGCCAUACCGCGUGGGUGAAGAAGGCCUUCGGGUUGUAAAGCCCUUUUGUUGGGAAAGAAAAGCAGCAGGUUAAUACCCCGCUGUUCUGACGGUACCCAAAGAAUAAGCACCGGCUAACUUCGUG
rnacentral:rRNA from 1 species